rnacentral:lncRNA from 12 species
CCGCUCUCCCAGCCACCGCAACCCACAAGAAAUAGCCUCUCUCUUGGCGCGGGUGCGGGAGGUCUCCGUUGCGCAAAACAUCGCAGGCAAAUAUUUUCAGAAAGUCGGAAUGGCAGAGUUGCAUUUUUUCCCAUUAGCUCCGAUUCAUAGUCGCGCGGCGACAUCAGACGUGCUGAGGGAGGACUUGGGCCUGCGAGGUGAGCGCGGGAGGCUCGGCGGCAGCGGGCUCUGUGGCAACCGCGGCCUCCGCACGAAGUUCAGCACCUGCCGUGGGGAUCCCUCCCUGCAGCGCCCCUGCAGUGUGGGUGCCUCCCCGCGGAGCACCUGCCCUACAGAUGCCUCCCCACAGAGCACCUGCAGUGUGGAUGGCUCCCCACAGUGCACCUGCCCUACAGAUGCCUCCCCACAGUGCACCUGCCCUACAGAUGCCUCCCUGCAGAGCACCUGCCCUACAGAUGCCUCCCCACAGUGCACCUGCCCUACAGAUGCCUCCCCACAGUGCACCUGCCCUACAGAUGCCUCCCCGCAGAGCACCUGCCGUGUGGAUGCCUCCCCACAGUGCUCCGCUCCGGAGAAGUCAAAACGGGAGCGGCGCUUUGGUGCUUUUUGCGUGGCCCCCCGGAGCCCGAGUCCACUGCAGCAUCCUUUCAGGAGCGGCGUCCCAUUAAGAGAGGUUUCCUUUUGCAUUUGGGAUGAAACCGAAGAUCAUCAGAGUUUUCUUUCCUGCUGAAACCUUUGAGGUAGGUGGGCAGGGUCUGACGUUUCCCUGUCUCUGGCUGUGAUUAAGUCCCCCCACCCCCACACACACUCACACCUUGGACUUAUACGUGGUUAGGUUGCAUCAGUCUGUCACUGGGACACAAAGCUUCUUGCGCUCAG